rnacentral:rRNA from 1 species
UGGGGAAUCUUCCGCAAUGGACGAAAGUCUGACGGAGCAACGCCGCGUGAGUGAAGAAGGUUUUCGGAUCGUAAAACUCUGUCUUUUGGGGCGAACGUGAGUAUGGUGAACAAUCAUAGUCAGUGACGGUACCAAAGGAGGAAGCCACGGCUAACUACGUGCCAGCAGCCGCGGUAAUACGUAGGUGGCAAGCGUUGUCCGGAAUUAUUGGGCGUAAAGAGCGCGUAGGCGGGAUAGUCAGUCUGUUGUAAAGUGCGGGGCUCAACCCCGUGAUGGCAAUGGAAACAGCUAUUCUUGAGUGCAGGAGAGGAAAGUGGAAUUCCCAGUGUAGCGGUGAAAUGCGUAGAUAUUGGGAGGAACACCAGUGGCGAAGGCGACUUUCUGGACUGUGUCUGACGCUGAGGCGCGAAAGCCAGGGGAGCGAACGGGAUUAGAUACCCCCGGUAGUCCUGGCCGUAAACGAUGGGUACUAGGUGUGGGAGGUAUCGACCCCCUUCCGUGCCGGAGUUAACGCAAUAAGUACCCCCGCCUGGGGAGUACGGUCGCAAGACUGAAACUCAAAUGAAUUGACGGGGUCAUAGCUGUUU